UACGUAGGGGGGCAAGCGUUGUCCGGAUUUAUUGGGCGUAAAGAGCGUGUAGGCGGCUAGGUAGGUGGGUUGUGAAAACUGGAGGCUCAACCUUCAGACGUCGACCCAAACCCCCUGGCUAGAGUCCGGAAGAGGAGAGUGGAAUUCCAGGUGUAGCGGUGAAAUGCGUAGAUAUCUGGAGGAACACCGGUGGCGAAGGCGGCAUCCUGGACCAAUACUGACGCUGAAUAGCGAAAGCCAGGGGAGCAAACGGG
rnacentral:rRNA from 1 species